rnacentral:rRNA from 1 species
AAUAGAUACCCCGGUAGUCCUAGCCGUAAACGAUGAACACUAGGCGUAGUCGGUAUCGACCCCGGCUGUGCCGUAGCUAACGCAUUAAGUGUUCCGCCUGGGGAGUACGGCCGCAAGGCUAAAACUCAAAGGAAUUGACGGGGGCCCGCACAAGCAGCGGAGCGUGUGGUUUAAUUCGUCGCAACGCGAAGAACCUUACCAGGGCUUGACAUGUGGCGGAAAACGGCGGAAACGUCGUCCUCCCGCAAGGGACCGUCAUGCAGGUGUUGCAUGGCUGUCGUCAGCUCGUGUCGUAAGAUGUUGGGUUAAGUCCCGCAACGAGCGCAACCCCCGUGGCAUGUUGUAUCUCUCAUGCCAGACUGCCGAGAGAAACUCGGAGGAAGGUGGGGAUGACGCCAAGUCAGCAUGGCCCUUACGUCCUGGGCUACACACACGCUACAAUGGCCGGUACAACGGGUUGCCAAACCGCGAGGUGGAGCUAAUCCCUUAAAGCCGGUCUCAGUUCGGAUUGCAGGCUGCAACUCGCCUGCAUGAAGCCGGU